GACGAACCGUGCGAACGUUAUUCGGAAUCACUGGGCUUAAAGCGCGUGUAGGUGGGGCGGCACGUCCGACGCUGAAAUCCCCCGGCUUAACCGGGGAACUGGCGGGGAUACGACCGUCCUCGAGGGACGUAGGGGGACCUGGAACUUCCGGUGGAGCGGUGAAAUGCGUUGAGAUCGGAAGGAACGCCCGUGGCGAAAGGCGAAGUCCUGGAGCGUUUUCUGACACUGAGACGGCGAAAGCCAGGGGAGCGAACGGG
rnacentral:rRNA from 1 species